AGGUGCAUCGCAGGGCAGCUGCUCCAUUGGCAGAGAGAUGGAUGUGGAUUUAGCCCUCUUGCUUCGCUCUUUUGCCUGUCUGCCAAAGGAGAUUUGCCCCGCGAUUCAUCA
rnacentral:pre_miRNA from 1 species